rnacentral:lncRNA from 1 species
CACAUACCAUGCCACACAUACACCACAAAUGUUCUGCCAUACAUGCCCUGCCACAAUACACCACACAUGCCAUGCAACACAUACACCACACAUGCCAUGCCACACAUAUACCACACAUGCCAUGCCACACAUAUACCACACAUGUCCUGCCAUACAUGUACCACACAUGUCCUGCCAUACAUAUACCACACAUGCCCUGCCACACAUAUAUCACACAUGGCCUGCCAUAUCUGCCAUGCCACACAUAUACCACACGCCACACCACACAUACACCACAGAUGCCACACCACACAUACACAUGUCACACUACACAUACACCACAGAUGCCACACCACACAUACACAUGUCGCACCACACAUAUACCACACAUGCCAUGCCACACAUAUACCACACAUGCCCUGCCACACAUGCACCAAACAUGCACUGCCACACAUGUACCACACAUGGAAUGUCACACAUGUACCACACCUGUCAUGCC